ensembl:lncRNA
UUUUGUCCGUUAUUUCCGUUGUUCUUCUUGGCCUGUCAUCUAAGUUUCUGCAAUAUGUUUCUGUCUCUCUGCUUGUUAUUUCCAUUAUUUCAGUUAUUUCCGUUAUUUUUGUUAUUUUCGUUAUUUCCGUUAUUUCCUUUAUUUUUCUUGGGUGUAAUCUAAAUUUCUGCAGUAUGUUUCUGUCUCUCUGGUGGUUAGUUCCGUUAGUUCCGUCACUUCCGUUGUUUAUUUCCAUUAGUUCCGUAAUUUAUUUUUGUUAGUUCCGUUAUUUAUUUCCGUUAGUUCCGUUAUUUAUUUCUGUCAGGUCCGUUAUUUAUUUCCGUUAGUUCAGUUACUUAGUACCCUUAUUUAGUUCGGUUAUUAAGUUCCGUUAUUUUGUUCCGUUAUUUAGUUCCGUUAUUUAGUUAUUUCCGUUUUUUCCAUUGUUCUUUCCUUGUCAUCUAAGUUUCUGAAGUAUGUUUCUGUCUGUCUGGAUGUUAUUUCCGUUAUUUCCGUUAUUUCUGCUAUUUCUGUUUUUUCCGUUGUUCUUCCUGGCCUGUCAUCUAAGUUUCAGAUGUAUGUUUCUGUCUCCCUGGACUUUGUUUCCGUUAUUAUUUCUGUUAUUUUGGUUAUUAAUUCAGUUAUUUCUGUAAUUAUUUUUGUUAUUUCCGUUGUUCUUCUUGGCCUCUCGUGUAAGUUCCAGAUGUAUGAUUCUUUCUCUCGGGAGUUUGUUUCCGUUAUUAUUUCCGUAAUUUCCAUUAUUAAUUUUGUUAUUUUUGUAAUUAUUUUUAUUAUUUCCGUUGUUCUUCUUGGCCUGUCGUCUAAGUUUCUGCUGUAUAUUUCUGUCUCUCUGGUGUUUGUUUCCGUUGUUUCCGUUGUUUCCUUGGUGUUCUUUAUUUCCGUUGUUCUUCUUGGGCUGUCAUCUAACUUCCUGCUGUAUGUUUCUGUCUCUCUGGAGGUUAUUUCCGUUGUUUCCGUUCUUUCCGUUCUUUCCGUUAUUUCUGUUAUUUCCAUUGUUCUUCUUGGCCUGUCAUCUAACUUUCUGCUGUAUGUUUCUUUCUUUCUCUCUGCAGUUUAUUUCCGUUAUUUCCAUUAUUUCUGUUAUUUUUGUUGUUCUUCUUGGCCUGUCAUCUAAAUUUCUGCUGUAUGUUUCUGUCUCUAUGGAGGCUGUUUCCGUUAUUUCCGUUAUUUCUUUUAUUUCCAUUGUUCUUCUUGGCCUGUCAUCUAAGUUUCUGCAGUAUUUUUAUGUCUCUCUGCAGGUUGUUUCCGUUGUUUCCAUUGUGUCUGUUAUUUCCGUUGUUCUUCUUGGCCUGUCAUCUAACUUUGUGCUGUAUGUUUCUGUCUCUCUGGAGGUUGUUUCCGUUAUUUCUGUUGUUCUUCUUGGCCUGUUAUCUAAGUUUCUGCAGUAUGUUUCUGUCUGUUGGGAGUUUACUUCCCUUGUUAUUUCUGUUAUUUCCGUUACUAAUUCCGUUAUUUCCGUAAUUAUUUCUGUUAUUUCCAUUGUUCUUCUUGGCCUGUCAUCUAAGUUUCUGCAAUAUGUUUUUGUCUCUCUGGUUGUUAUUUACGUUAUUAUUUCCUUUAUUAUUUCCAUCAUUAUUUUUUUUUCUUGUUGUUGUUGUUGUUGUUUCCGUUUUUUCUUUUUUUUUCCCAUUUUUUUCUGUUAUUUCCGUUACACUUCUUGGCCUGUCAUCGAAGUUUCUGCAGUAUGUUUCUUUCUCUCUGGAGGUUAUUUUCGUUAUUUCCGUUAUUUCCUUUAUUUUCCUUGGUCUGUCAUCUAAGUUUCUGCAGAAUAUUUCUGUGUCUCUGGUGGUUAGUUCCGUUAGUUCCGUGAGUUUCGUUGUUUAUUUCCAUUAGUUCUGUAAUUUAUUUCCUUUAUUAUUUUCGUUAUUCUUUCCGUUAUUCUUCUUGCCUGUCAUCUAAGUUUCUGCAGUAUGUUUCUGUCUCUCUGGAGGUUAUUUCCGUUAUUUCCGUUAUUUCCGUUAUUUCCAUUUUUUCAGUUAUUUUCUUUACUUUUCUUGGACUGUCAUCUAAGUUUCUGCUGUAUGUUUCUUUCUCUCUGGAGGUUAUUUCCGUUAUUUCCAUUAUUUCCGUUAUUUCAGUUAUUUUCUUUACUUUUCUUGGCCUGUCAUCUAAGUUUCUGCAGUAUGUUUCUUUCUCUCUGGAGGUUAUUUCCGUUAUUUCCAUUAUUUCCGUUAUUUCAGUUAUUUCCUUUAUUCUUCUUGGCCUGUCAUCUAAGUUUCUGCUGUAUGUUUCUGUAUAUCUGGAGGUUAUUUCCGUUAUUUCCAUUAUUUCCGUUAUUUCAGUUAUUUCCUUUAUUCUUCUUGGCCUGUCAUCUAAGUUUCUGCUGUAUAUUUCUGUCUCUCUGGAGGUUUUUUCCAUUAUUUUCGUUAUUUUGGUUAUUUCUGUAUUUUCGUUAUUUCCGUAAUUAUUUCCGUUAUUUCCGUUGUUCUUCUUGGCCUGUCAUCUAAGUUUCUGCUGUAAGUUUCUGUCUUGCUGGUGAUUAGUUCCUUUUGUUCCGUUAGAUCCGUUAUUUAUUUCCGUUAGUUCUGGAAUUUAUUUCCGUUAGUUCCGUUAUUUAUUUCCAUUACUUUCGUCUUUUAGUUCCCUUAUUUAGUUCCGUUAUUUAGUUCCGUUUUUUCCGUUGUUCUUGGACUGUCAUCUAAGUUUCUGAAGUAUGUUUCUUUCUCUCUGGAGUUUAUUUCCUUUCUUUCCCUUAUAAUUUCCCUUAUUAUUUCCCUUAUUAUUUCCCUUAUUUCCCGUAUUUUUUCCCUUAUUUCACUUAUUCUGUUAUUUCCCUCAUUUCCCUUUUUUCCGUUAUUUCCCUUAUUUCCGUUAUUUACCUUAUUUUCUUUAUUUCCCUUAUUUCUGUUGUUUCUGCUAUUUCUGUUUUUUCCAUUGUUCUUCUUGGCCUGUCAUCUAAGUUUCAGAUGUAUGUUUCUGUCUCUCUGGAGUUUGUUUCCGUUAUUAUUUCCAUUAUUAAUUCAGUAAUUUCCGUAAUUUACUUUAGUUAUUCCCGUUAUUUAUUUCCGUUUUUUCCAUUAUUUAUUUAUGUUAUUUCAGUUAUUUAUUUCCGUUAUUUCUGUAGUUCUUCUUGGCCUGUCAUCUCAGUUUCUGCAGUCUGUUUCUGUCUCUCUGGAGGUUAUUUCCGUUAUUUCCAUUAUUUCCGUUAUUUCUGUUAUUUCCGUUGUUCUUCUUGGCCUGUCAUCUAUUUUUCUGCAGUCUGUUUCUGUCUCUCUGGAGGUUAUUUCCGUUAUUUCCGUUAUUUCCGUUAUUACCGUUCUUUCCAUUAUUUCCCUUGUUCUUCUUGGCCUGUCAUCAAAGGUUCUGCAGUAUGUUUCUGUCUCUCUGGUGGUUAGUUUCGUUAGUUCCGUUCUUUCCGUUAUUUCCUUUAUUCUUCUUGGCCUGUCAUCUAAGUUUCUGCCGUAUGUUUCUGUCCCCUGGUGGUUAGUUUCAUUAGUUCUGUUAGUUCCUUUAUUUAUUUUCAUUAUUUCCAGAAUUUGUUUCUGUUAGUUCCAUUAUUUAUUUCCCUUAGUUCCUUUAUUUAUUUCGGUUGGUUCCGUAAUUUCAUUCUGUUAGUUCCGUUAUUUAUUUCCCUUAGUUCCUUUAUUUAUUUCGGUUGGUUCCGUAAUUUCAUUCUGUUAGUUUCGUCAUUUAUUUCCGUUACUUUCGUUAUUUAGUUCCAUUAUUUAGUUCCAUUAUUUCCAUUGUUCUUCUUGGCCUGUCAUCUAAAUUUCUGCAGUCUGUUUCUGUCUCUCUGGAGGUUAGUUCCGUUAGUUCCGUUAUUUAUUUCUGUUAUUUCCGUUAUUUAUUUCUAUUAGUUUUGAUAUUUUUGUUAUUAUUUCCGUUAUUCUCCUUGGCCUGUCAUCUAAGUUUCUGCCGUAUGUUUCUGUCUCUCUGGAGGUUAUUUCCAUUGUUUCCAUUAUUUCCGUUAUUUCCGCUUUUUCCGUUAUUUCCGUAUUUCUUCUUGGCCUCUCAUCUAAGUUUCUGCAGUAUGUUUCUGUCUCUCUGCAGGUUAUUUCCGUUAUGUCUGUUAUUUCCGUUCUUUAUGCAAUUUUUCUUGGCCUGUCAUCUAAGUUUCUGCAUUAUGUUUCUGUCUCUCUGGAGGUUAUUUCCGUUAUUUCAUUUAUUUCUGUUAUUUCCGUUGUUCUUCUUGGCCUGUCAUCUAAGUUUCUGCAGUAUGUUUCUGUCUCUCUGGUGGUUAGUUUCGUUAGUUCUGUUAGUUCCGUUAUUUAUUUCCGUUAUUUCCAGAAUUUAUUUCCGUUAGUUCCGUUAUUUAUUUCUCUUAGUUCCUUUAUUUAUUUCGGUUGGUUCCUUUAUUUCUUUCUGUUAGUUUCGUCAUUUAUUUCCAUUCCUUCCGUU